UACAUGGGGUGCAAACGUUGCUCGGAAUUAUUGGGCGUAAAGCGCGCGUAGGCGGUUACUUAAGUCGGAUGUGAAAGCCCUCGGCUUAACUGAGGAAGUGCACCCGAAACUGAGUAGCUGGAGUACGAAAGAGGGUCGCGGAAUUCCCGGUGUAGAGGUGAAAUUCGUAGAUAUCAGGAGGAACACCGGUGGCGAAGGCGGGUCUCUGGGCCGAUAUCGACGCUGAGGAGCGAAAGCGUGGGGAGCGAACAGG
rnacentral:rRNA from 1 species